UGUUGGGGUAGAUGGCAUUGGGAAGAAGCUUGUGAACUCAAAAGAAGGUCCCCCAACUUUUGAACAGCCUAAAAUGACAGUGGAGAAGCUCCUUCACUAUGGUCAAAUGCUGGUUCAGGAGCAGGACAAUGUGAAGAGAGUUCAACUGGCUGACAAGUACUUGAGUGAUGCAGCCCUUGGAGAUGCAAACCAGGACGCCAUUAAGAGAGGAGAAUUCUAUGGUUAGUACACUUUGUCUUAACACAACAACCCUAGAGGCACCAACUUGUGUCCCAACUUUUUAAAUCUGAAGUGAUGUAGCGGAAUUUCAUUCGUUUAAAUUUGGGGCAGAUUUUCCUUACCAAAUCUGAACUAUAGUAGUUUGUUCAAGUUUUCUGUAAAUUUUUUGAUGCAGGCAAGGCAGC
rnacentral:lncRNA from 1 species